AUUGAACGCUGGCGGCACGCUUAACACAUGCAAGUCGGGCGGUAACAUGACUAGUAGCAAUACUAGUUGAUGACGAGCGGCGGACGGGUGAGUAACACGUAGGAACUUGCCCAGUAGUGGGGGACAACCAAGGGAAACUUUGGCUAAUACCGCAUAUUCUCGAGAGAGGAAAGCUGACGCCAGGUGGCGCUAUUGGAGAGGCCUGCGUCCGAUUAGCUAGUUGGCGAGGUAAAGGCUCACCAAGGCGAGGAUCGGUAACUGGUCUGAGAGGACGACCAGUCACACUGGGACUGAGACACGGCCCAGACUCCUACGGGAGGCAGCAGUGGGGAAUCUUGGACAAUGGGGGCAACCCUGAUCCAGCGAUGCCGCGUGAGUGAAGAAGGCCUUCGGGUCGUAAAGCUCUUUAGGCUGGGAAGAAGGUUGGUAGUUUAAGAGAUAAUCAAUUUGACUGUACCAGCAGAAUAAGCACCGGCAAACUCUGUGCCAGCCGCCGCCGUAA
rnacentral:rRNA from 1 species